CAGGACGAACGCUGGCGGCGUGCUUAACACAUGCAAGUCGAACGAGGAGUUAUGUUGGAAGGGCUUCGGCCUGGAAGGCGGUAAUUCGAGUGGCGGACGGGUGAGUAACGCGUGAACAAUCUGUCCCGGACAGGGGAAUAACACUUGGAAACAGGUGCUAAUACCGCAUAAGACCACGCCCUCGCAUGGGGGAGGGGUAAAAGGAGGAAUCCGGUUCGGGGUGAGUUCGCGUCCGAUUAGAUAGUUGGUGAGGUAACGGCCCACCAAGUCGACGAUCGGUAGCCGACCUGAGAGGGUGAUCGGCCACAUUGGAACUGAGAGACGGUCCAAACUCCUACGGGAGGCAGCAGUGGGGAAUAUUGGGCAAUGGGCGAAAGCCUGACCCAGCAACGCCGCGUGAGUGAAGAAGGCUUUCGGGUUGUAAAGCUCUGUUAUAGGGGACGAAGGAAGUGACGGUACCCUAUAAGGAAGCCCCGGCUAACUACGUGCCAGCAGCAGC
rnacentral:rRNA from 1 species